rnacentral:tRNA from 1 species
UCCCUGCUGGCUCAGCAGUAACAGAAUCUGCCUGUCAUGCAGGAGACACAGGUUCAAUUCCUGGGUCAGGAA